AAAGAUAAAAAUGAUCAGCGCCGAGGGAACGGUUCCAGUAAGGAAAAUCGUUACGGAUGCGUGAGAUGAAACGCGCGAGCGAGCGCGUGGAGGUGUCUGAUGAGAAAGGGAGGAAGAAGAGGUGUGCUUGUUCAGGGUGUUGGGUAAGGUAAGAACUGUUUUGUAGUGAAGAAUAGAACAGAGAUUCUUGUUCUGUUUUGAAACUGAAUUGUGUUAUGUUUGUGUUUGUGUUUGGUUGAUACAUAAACACUUUGAAAUUUUGAGCCAUUUUUUGAUAAUUUUGAAGGAAGAGUGUUGUGGAUGUUAGAUAAGGAUUGGGAGAAGAAUUGUUUUGAGGAAGUGAUGAUAACACAAAUGAAGAGGAACGUAAUAAUUGUAAGAACACGAUGAAGAUUGUUCUGAAAAACAACAUUUUACACUUUGUGAAUGAUUAAAC
rnacentral:lncRNA from 1 species